AUAAUGCCCACGUGUCCAGGACAGGGCUAGGUGGAGAUAAUUAAAUCAUGGGGGUGGUUAUCCCAUACUGUUCUCAUUGUAGUGAAUAAGUUUCACAAGAUCUGAUGGUAUUACAAUGAGAGUACCCCUGCACAAGCUCUCUUGCCUUCCACCAUGUAAGACGUGACUUUGCUCCUCAUUUGUCUUCUACCAUUACUGUGAGGUCUUUCCAGCCAUGUGCAACUGGGAUGGCUUUGCCAGGAAAAGCCCUUCAAUAGCAGCCUGGCCAAAGAUUCUGGGCAAAUAAGUUGGCUGGGUCCAUGGGCAAUCAAGAUUCUGGGACCUGCAAUCAAACUUGCUGCUGGCGUUUGCCUCUACCAGCAAGAAGUGGGCUGCAAAAGCUGGAGAGUUCUGUAAUGCCCAAUAUGGCCACAGAAUGAGGAAGAACUUCCUAAAGGACUGAAUCAGAAGUCACAGAAAACAAUGGUCAAAAUCAUCUCUUUCCGAAAACCAAAACUAGUGCCUGA
rnacentral:lncRNA from 1 species